rnacentral:tRNA from 1 species
UCAGUGGUGGCUCAGUGGUAGAAUUCCUGUCUUCUAUGUAGGAGACCUGGGUUUGAUUCCUGGUCAAUGCA